AAGACAGCGCGCUAGCGUAUCUAGUCUAUGCAUAUCUAUGGUCGGCACGUCUGGUAGCAUCUCUGGCUGCUGUUGAUCUUGUUUUUGGAGUAAAACACGGUGGAAGCUGAAUUAGUGAGGAUGACUCCUGCUCCUGUCAUCUCUAAGCUCCUCACACAUCUUUACCUGCACAUGAGGAAAAUCACUCCUGUAGAAUGCAGAUGUUCAGAGGGAGAUGAUGCCACAUCUGGUCCAGCCGAUGGAAGGUCUUGAAGUUCUCUGACUGGCCUCGACUGAAGAUGGUCGUCUCACUGGAUUUAAGAUGCACAAUGAGGGACGUCUGCAGAGACUGAGAAAGAGUCUCACCACAUCCUGACAUGAGGAAAAAGACUUUAUUGAAGACUACAAUGAGAAAAACUAUCGGACAGCAGACGGCUGCAUUCAAGAGAGGAAGACCAUCAAACAUCCACAUCAGCUGAUGGAGGUCCAAGAGUCUCACCAAACAACCAACCUACAGAGUGAAGACCUCGAAUCUGAUUGGACGGACUCCUAUUCAGCCACAUGUGUGAACAAAUGCCUCUAAGCUGAUUUGUUUUCUAAAAUAAAUCUAGUUUGAGUCCUAAUCUAUACCU
ensembl:lncRNA